AUUGAACGCUGGCGGCAGGCCUAACACAUGCAAGUCGAGCGGUAGCACAGAGAGCUUGCUCUCGGGUGACGAGCGGCGGACGGGUGAGUAAUGUCUGGGAAACUGCCUGAUGGAGGGGGAUAACUACUGGAAACGGUAGCUAAUACCGCAUAACGUCGCAAGACCAAAGUGGGGGACCUUCGGGCCUCAUGCCAUCAGAUGUGCCCAGGUGGGAUUAGCUAGUAGGUGGGGUAAUGGCUCACCUAGGCGACGAUCCCUAGCUGGUCGGAGGGGAUGCCCAGCCACACUGGAACUGAGACACGGUCAAGACUCCUACGGGAGGCAGCAGUGGGGAAUAUUGCACAAUGGGCGCAAGCCUGAUGCAGCCAUGCCGCGUGUGUGAAGAAGGCCUUCGGGUUGUAAAGCACUUUCAGCGGGGAGGAAGGCGGUGAGGUUAAUAACCUCAUCGAUUGACGUUACCCGCAGAAGAAGCACCGGCUAACUCCGUGCCAGCCGCCGCGGUAA
rnacentral:rRNA from 1 species